AAGGAUGUCUAGGAGAAGAAAACUCUGAUAUGAAAUUUUUGGUAGAUUUGACUCGUCAGCCUUGGUCUGCAAUUGAUCUAAAGGAAAAAAAGCUUGAGUAAAGAUUCUCUGGUUCUCCAGGUUUGGGAUUGAGAGAUAUGCCAACAACCUAUCCUUGUAAAAAGGAAGAAUGAUUAUAUACCAAUUAAUCUCCCAGAUGAGGAACAUCACAACCGGGUCUGCAUGAAGCUUUAACAUUCAAAAGACAAGUUAUCCUGGAUAUUUUGAAAACACGUAAAUGGUUUACUGAAGGAAAAUCGAAGGAAAGUAGGACCUGGAUGUAAAAUAAUACCAACUUUAAGACAAAGCGUGCUUGUUAAUUUAGAAAUCAACUGAAGCAGAAGAAUGGAUUCUGUUGAUCUGAGGAACUUGGAAACACUUAUUGACAAGAAAAAUAUGUAGUAAUACAAUUAUGUUUAAAGAGAGAGAUAGAAAGAGGGGGGAGAGCCAGUUGUAAAGAUUUAUUCUUUUAAACCAGAUAUGUUGAUUACAUUCGAAUUUCAUAGGCCUACAGUUCCCCCCUAAAUGGUCUUAGUUAAUACAUGUACUAGGUGUUUAAUGUAAGACUUUGAUGUGACUUGUGAGAACAAUCAGCUGCCAUUGGUUUAAAUCUAUUUUUAUGCCCUUUCAGUUUGGG